rnacentral:rRNA from 1 species
UACGUAGGUGGCAAGCGUUGUCCGGAUUUACUGGGCGUAAAGAGCGCGCAGGCGGUCGUUCAAGUCGCGUGUGAAAGCCCCCGGCUCAACUGGGGAGGGUCACGCGAUACUGCUCGACUUGAAGGCAGGAGAGGGAAGUGGAAUUCCCGGUGUAGUGGUGAAAUGCGUAGAUAUCGGGAGGAACACCAGUGGCGAAGGCGACUUCCUGGCCUGUUCUUGACGCUGAGGCGCGAAGGCUAGGGUAGCAAACGGG